rnacentral:rRNA from 1 species
GAGACAGCAGUGCCGCGGGAAUACGAAGGGUGCAAGCGUUACUCGGAAUUACUGGGCGUAAAGCGUGCGUAGGUGGUGGUUUAAGUCCGUUGUGAAAGCCCUGGGCUCAACCUGGGAAUUGCAGUGGAUACUGGGUCACUAGAGUGUGGUAGAGGAUAGUGGAAUUUCCGGUGUAGCAGUGAAAUGCGUAGAGAUCGGAAGGAACAUCUGUGGCGAAGGCGACUAUCUGGGCCAACACUGACACUGAGGCACGAAAGCGUGGGGAGCAAACAGGAUUAGAUACCCCAGUAGUCCCUGUCUCUUAUACA